rnacentral:rRNA from 1 species
AUUGAACGCUGGCGGCAUGCUUUACACAUGCAAGUCGAACGGUAACAGGGAGCUUGCUCCGCUGACGAGUAGCGAACGGGUGAGUAAUGCAUCGGAACGUACCCAGUCGUGGGGGAUAACGUAGCGAAAGUUACGCUAAUACCGCAUACGUCCUGAGGGAGAAAGCGGGGGACCGAAAGGCCUCGCGCGAUUGGAGCGGCCGAUGUCGGAUUAGCUAGUUGGUGGGGUAAAGGCCUACCAAGGCGACGAUCCGUAGCGGGUCUGAGAGGAUGAUCCGCCACACUGGGACUGAGACACGGCCCAGACUCCUACGGGAGGCAGCAGUGGGGAAUUUUGGACAAUGGGGGCAACCCUGAUCCAGCCAUGCCGCGUGAGUGAAGAAGGCCUUCGGGUUGUAAAGCUCUUUCAGACGGAAAGAAAACGCAUCGGUGAAUACCCGAUGUGGAUGACGGUACCGUAAGAAGAAGCACCGGCUAACUACGUG